rnacentral:rRNA from 1 species
AUACGUAGGGGGCGAGCGUUGUCCGGAAUGAUUGGGCGUAAAGGGCGCGUAGGCGGCCUGUUAAGUCUGGAGUGAAAGUCCUGUUUUCAAGAUGGGAAUUGCUUUGGAUACUGAUGGGCUUGAGUGCAGGAGAGGUUAUCGGAAUUCCCGGUGUAGCGGUGAAAUGCGUAGAGAUCGGGAGGAACACCAGUGGCGAAGGCGGGUAACUGGACUGCAACUGACACUGAGGCGCGAAAGUGUGGGGAGCAAACAGGAUUAGAUACCCUGGUAGUCCACACUGUAAACGAUGAAUGCUAGGUGUAAGAGGUAUCGACCCCUUUUGUGCCGGAGUUAACACAAUAAGCAUUCCGCCUGGGGAGUACGGCCGCAAGGUUGAAACUCAAAUGAAUUGACGGGG